UACGAAGGGGGCUAGCGUUGCUCGGAAUCACUGGGCGUAAAGGGUGCGUAGGCGGGUCUUUAAGUCAGGGGUGAAAUCCUGGAGCUCAACUCCAGAACUGCCUUUGAUACUGAAGAUCUUGAGUUCGGGAGAGGUGAGUGGAACUGCGAGUGUAGAGGUGAAAUUCGUAGAUAUUCGGCAAGAACACCAGUGGCGAAGGCGGCUCACUGGCCCGAUACUGACGCUGAGGCACGAAAGCGUGGG
rnacentral:rRNA from 1 species